rnacentral:rRNA from 1 species
ACGCUGGCGGCAUGGUUAAGACAUGCAAGUCGAACGAAAAACAUGACUUCGGUCAUGUGGAAAGUGGCGAACGGGUGCGUAACACGUGAGCAACCUGCCCUUGAGUAUGGAAUAGCCCGCCGAAAGGCGGAUUAAUGCCGUAUGUGGCCUUUCAUCGCAUGGUGAAAUGGCUAAAGCUUGUAAUGGCGCUCAAGGAUGGGCUCGCGGCCUAUCAGCUUGUUGGUGAGGUAAUAGCUCACCAAGGCAAAGACGGGUAGCUGGUCUGAGAGGAUGAUCAGCCACACCGGGACUGAGACACGGCCCGGACACCUACGGGUGGCAGCAGUUUCGAAUCAUUCACAAUGGGCGAAAGCCUGAUGGUGCAAUGCCGCGUGGAGGAUGACGGCCCUAGGGUUGUAAACUCCUGUCAUUGGGGAGCAACAAGCAGGUUCAUAACCUGCCCUGAGUUAACCCAAAGAGGAAGAGGUGGCUAACUCCGUGCCAGCAGCCGCGGUAAUACGGAGACCUCGAGCGUUACUCGGAUUUACUGGGCGUAAAGGGUGAGUAGGCGGCCAAGUAUGUCGGGUGUGAAAUCCCGGGGCUUAACCCCGGAACUGCGCCCGAAACUAUUUGGCUAGAGUCUCGGAGAGGAUAGUGGAAUUCCAGGUGUAGCGGUGAAAUGCGUAGAUAUCUGGAGGAACACCAGUGGCGAAGGCGACUGUCUGGACGAGAACUGACGCUCAAUCACGAAAGCGUGGGUAGCGAAAGGGAUUAGAUACCCCUGUAGUCCACGCCGUAAACGUUGUACAUUAAGUUUCGGAGGAUUCGACCCCUUCGGAGCUCAAGCUAACGCGUUAAAUGUACCGCCUGAGGACUACGGCCGCAAGCCUAAACCCAAAGAGAUG